GGUAUAUUUCUGAUAAGCAGCAAAGUGUCUUUGAAGUGUGUCUCUGUAUUUACUGACUGUGAACAGUGCAUGUAGAUAUGACAAAGAAGAAUCAAGCAAUAAUGACAACUAUCAUUUAUUUACUCUUGAUGAUAUUAUGUUUAAAAGAUGUUCAUUGUCAAACCUUCACUCAGCCUCAAGAUGUGUUGAAAAAACCUGGCGAAUCCUUCAGACUGAUCUGCACCGCUUCUGGAUUUACAUUCAGCAGCUACUGGGCAGCUGUGGUUAGACAGGCUCCUGGUAAAGGACUGGAAUGGGUUGCAACUAUUAGCACAUCCAGUACUUAUAUCUACUAUUCCCAGUCAGUUCAGGGAAGAUUCACAGUUACCAGAGACGACUCCAGCAGUCAACUGUAUCUACAGAUGAACAGUCUAAAGACUGAAGACACAGCUGUGUAUUACUGUGCCAGAGAGUCACAGUGAAUGAGUUUAAGGUCAAAGCAAUACAAAAACCACUUCCUCAUUUCAGAAUAAUAAUGCUAGUAUUAAUAAUAAUACUAUUUA